UACGUAGGGGGCCAGCGUUGCUCGGAAUUACUGGGCGUAAAGGGUCCGUAGGCGGUGUGGCAAGUCGAUAGUGAAAUCUCUGGGCUUAACCCAGAAGCUGCUAACGAAACUGCUAUGCUAGAGGGUGAGAGAGGCGAGUGGAAUUGCGGGUGUAGCGGUGAAAUGCGUAGAUAUCCGCAGGAACAUCUGAGGCGAAAGCGGCUCGCUGGAUCACUUCUGACGCUGAGGGACGAAAGCUAGGGGAGCAAACAGG
rnacentral:rRNA from 1 species